rnacentral:rRNA from 1 species
AACGAACUCUGGCGGCAGGCUUAACACAUGCAAGUCGAGCGCCCCGCAAGGGGAGCGGCAGACGGGUGAGUAACGCGUGGGAAUCUACCGUGCCCUACGGAAUAGCUCCGGGAAACUGGAAUUAAUACCGUAUACGCCCUACGGGGGAAAGAUUUAUCGGGGUAUGAUGAGCCCGCGUUGGAUUAGCUAGUUGGUGGGGUAAAGGCCUACCAAGGCGACGAUCCAUAGCUGGUCUGAGAGGAUGAUCAGCCACAUCGGGACUGAGACACGGCCCAAACUCCUACGGGAGGCAGCAGUGGGGAAUAUUGGACAAUGGGCGCAAGCCUGAUCCAGCCAUGCCGCGUGAGUGAUGAAGGUCUUAGGAUUGUAAAGCUCUUUCACCGAUGAAGAUAAUGACGGUAGUCGGAGAAGAAGCCCCGGCUAACUUCGUGCCAGCCGCCGCCGUAAGAC